rnacentral:rRNA from 1 species
AAUGAACGCUGGCGGCGUGGAUUAGGCAUGCAAGUCGUACGCGAAAGAGGGAGCAAUCCCUUGAGUAGAGUGGCGAACGGGUGAGUAACGCGUGAGAAACCUGCCUUUGACAGGGGGAUAACACUCCCAACGGGGUGCUAAUACCGCAUGAGACCACGGGAUCGCAUGAUCCUGAGGUCAAAGAUGGCCUCUAUUUAUAAGCUAUCGGUCGAAGAUGGUCUCGCGUCCCAUUAGCUUGUUGGCGGUGUAAAAGACCACCAAGGCGACGAUGGGUAGCUGGUCUGAGAGGAUGGUCAGCCACACUGGGACUGAGAUACGGCCCAGACUCCUACGGGAGGCAGCAGUCGAGAGGCUUCGGCAAUGGGGGAAACCCUGACCGAGCGACGCCGCGUGGAGGAUGAAGGCCCUUGGGUUGUAAACUCCUUUUAUUCGGGAAGAAGUGCGAUCAGGUGAAUAAUCUGGUCGUUUGACGGUACCGGAUGAAUAAGCUCCGGCUAACUCCG